AAAUUGAAGAGUUUGAUCAUGGCUCAGAUUGAACGCUGGCGGCAGGCCUAACACAUGCAAGUCGAACGGUAACAGGAAGCAGCUUGCUGCUUCGCUGACGAGUGGCGGACGGGUGAGUAAUGUCUGGGAAACUGCCUGAUGGAGGGGGAUAACUACUGGAAACGGUGGCUAAUACCGCAUAACGUCGCAAGACCAAAGAGGGGGACCUUCGGGCCUCUUGCCAUCAGAUGUGCCCAGAUGGGAUUAGCUUGUUGGUGGGGUAACG
rnacentral:rRNA from 2 species